AGGCCAAGAUGCAAUUAUGAUCUUUCAUUUGCUGAGGUGGCUACAAAGAACACUGGAUCAUAAGUUCCAAGAGGGCAAUAUCCUUUUUCUGUUUAAUUCAUCACUGCCUUCACAAUGUCUAUGAAUGACCAGACGCAAGGUACUCAGCAACUAAGAGUCUAUUCAGCUUUGAAAUAUUUAGCCCUGAAGACUUAAGUCUCCAAACUCUGCACAAGAGAUCUCAAACCACAGGCAUGGAUAUUCCCGAGGAAAGGAGCAUGGGAUGACAUGAUGAGGCAAGAUGCUGCUUGCCCCCAGCCAAAUCUCAUGACCCAACCACACAGUCUAAGAGGUUCGUGUUAAGUUGCUUUAGUAAACUAAGAACAGUGAAAGAAGAAAUUGCAAAUUCACUUGGAUGUAAGGUUUUUCUUACUGAAGAAAAGCUCAAAGGCUAUGCAGACCAGUGAUGAUUUCCCGGCAACAUUAUGAUUUCACCUCUUCAGGAAAAUGCCCCUGUGAGGAGGCCUUGCUUUCUCUCUGACCACCGAUGGAUCUGAACUGAGUCUCAGUUACUAGCUUCCAUUUUCAAAGACCUCAUAUCUAGAAGAAUCUUUGCAGAGAAUUUGUCAAGUGCCUCCCUGUCCUUAAUUGGUCUGUUGUGUUAUCCCUACUUGCACGCUAGUGUCCAAAGUUAUUCUUUCCAGAGUGUGGGUCACAAUGCUCCUUUAAAGACAGAAGUGAGAGAGACAGGUCACACCAAAUUUAGAACUGAGGCAGAGCCCUGUGAUUUAGAGAGUACCAAGGGUGUGUAGGGGUGGUUUCUAGAAGUCCAAAGGUGAAGCUCACCUUAAAAAAACACAGGGCCUUGCAGGACAUUCAGAACAGAAGAAUCAAUGCUUGUAAUGAGUAGAAUGAAUAGAAUAUUCUAAACUGAGUAGAAUUUGGCGCCCAGUCAUUGAAAUGGAAGUGGUCUGUAGAACCCACUUUGCACAUAUCCUGGCCAACUCAGAAGUAAUAAAAUGCAAAUAUUUAAAGUAAGGAUCUAGGUUUCUUGGUGUACUAUUAGAGUCCACUUGAAUAAAUUGAUGCAGUUUGCUCUCCCUGGGGUCUGAAACACAGUACAGGGCAGAUCUUCCUCGAUUUACGAUGAGAUUACACCCGGAUAAACCCUCAGAAAUUGAAAAUAAUUUAAGUUGAAAAUGCACUUAACACACCUAACCAAGUGAACAUCCUAUCUUAGCCUAGCUGACCUUAAACGUGCUCAGAACACUUAGAUGAGCCUACAGUUGGGCAAAAUCAUCUAACACAAAGCCUGUUUUAUAAUAAAGCCUGUUUUAUAAUAAAGUGGUGACUAUCUCGUGUAAUUUAUCAAAUGCUGUACUGAAAGUGAAAAAUAGAACGGUUGGAGGGGUACAGAGUGGUUGUAAGCAUAUAAGUGUUUACCCUCGUAAUCACGUGGUGACUGGGAGCUGAGGCUGCCACUGCCCAGCGCCAGAGAGAGGGUCAUACAGCAUAUCGCCAGCCCAGGAAAAGAUCAAAAUUCAAAAUUCCAAGUUUGGUUUCUACUGAAUGCAUUGCUUUCGUACCAUGAUAAAGUUGAACCAUCCUAAGUUGGGGCUGUCUGUAUUAGCAGAGUUUUGCAUUUUUGCCCAAGCUGUACGGUGCUGGCUUGCCUGAGUCUCCAUGGAUUUCAGGUCACUAGGCUUAGUCAAAGUCCCAUUAAAAUAUAGAAUGUAAUUCUGCGUGAGGGAAGGAAGAAGAUAAAGGGCAGCCUGACAGCACGCCUAGUCAAUCCUCUUAUCAAGGUCACACAGCUAUCAGUGUCUCAGAGGGAUUUCCAGGCCAAAAGUAAUUCUUUUGUGUUUGUUUUACAAUAAUAGCGGCAUUUCCUCAACUCCCCAGUUUCCACAGAGACCAACUCCAUCAAAUGUCGUGUACAAGUACAAGUAGGACCCACCUUGUCCUCACUUUUUCCUGACCAGCCUUUUUCUCCUGGAUAAUGCCCUCUAGAUAGAUCGCUCACUAUGUCAGUCGGAAAUCAUAAUUUAUUUUCACUCAUGCAGAAGAAGUCUGGAGACAUGCAAUUAAGACUUGCACUCUUUCCUACUUUUCUAGUUUUCCUUGGAAGGGGUGUCCUUGAUUCUCAUUCUCACAAGAUGGCUGUAGGAACUUCAACUACCAAGUUUAAGGUCUGGGUAAGGAGAAGAAUGAAGACAGGGAGUAAAAGGAUAUAUGACAGCUAAGGCAGCCCCAAGAGAAGAACUUUCUUUUUUUUUCCUUGCUUUCCUUCUGGUUGUUUUUUUUUUUUUUUUUUGAGGAAGAUUAGCCCUGAGCUAAC